rnacentral:tRNA from 1 species
GGACUCGUAACUCAGCCGGUAGAGCGUGCGCGUACAACGCGUAGGGCGGCGUCCAUGCGUGGGUUCGAAUCCCACCGAGACUA